rnacentral:sRNA from 1 species
UACUCAAUUUCAUACAUAUUAUAUUGAAAUUUUAUAAUCUUAUAUACUACAAUAGUUAAUAACAUAUUAGAUGUGAUUCAAUUUUUAAUACAAGCUGGAAAAUCCUAGAAUUGACGGGUUUAGAUCGAUAUUAAUACAAGAUGGUAUACUACAUGUGAAACUCUUAAAUUAACAAUCAAACUACAAGUGUAUAAUCUUAAACACUAAACAAUAUAGAUAAUAUCAACAAAACAUUUACAACUCACAGUCUACUAUACAUUUAAAAUCAAAUAAAAUAAUAUCAUAUAUUUUUAAAUUAUCUUUACAAUAAAAGUUUUUAGUUUAACUAAAAUAUAAGCCUAACUGCGGUAUACUGCAGAUUAAUCUGUAGAUUAUAAGACUUAUUAGAUCUAAAGACGGGUCAUCAAAGAUUUCCUAAACUGAAGCAAAAUAUACUGAAUAUUCAAAUAU